CUAUUACUUGUGUACCGACGUUAAGUACCACACUUGCUUGCUUACCCAAGCUGAGUGUGUGCUUACUAUUCUUACACACACACCAUUGUCCAACCAAUGAGUAAACCAAACUCUGAAGCUAUUGCUGCUGUUAAUCGGCAGUACUAACCAAGAACAACUCUCAACAACGGAUAUCUUGGCUCUCGCAACGAUGAAGAACGCAGCGAAAUGCGAUACGUAGUGUGAAUUGCAGAAUUCCGUGAACCAUCGAAUCUUUGAACGCAUAUUGCGCUCGACUCCUCGGAGAAGAGCAUGUCUGCCUCAGCGUCGGUUUACACCCUCAUCCCUCUUGCUUUCCAAAAGCAGGCUUGUCACGUGUGCUAUCACUGGCAUUAGGGAUGGAUCUGGCUCUCCCAAUCGGUGUCAAUCGGUUGGGUUGGCUGAAGCAUAGAGGCUUAAACUGGGACCCGUACCGGGCUCAACUGGAUAGGUAGCAACACCCUCGUGGUGCCUACACGAAGUUGUGUCUGAGGACCUGGUUAGAGGCCAAGCAGGAAACACGCUUCACGGCGUGUCUCAUGUAUUCGACCUGAGCUCAGGCAAGGCUACCCGCUGAACUUAAGCAUAUG
rnacentral:rRNA from 1 species